rnacentral:sRNA from 2 species
CCGCUCCGGAUGCCUGGUCGACACGAGUGGAUCGGCAGGAGUGGAGGACCCGUGCAGUUCGGGGCGGUCCGACCAUGGACAGCUCCUCGGGGUGAAGCCGCGUACGCGGCCGGGCGUCUUCGCCAGCCCGAACCCGACAGGUCAUCCUUCACAGGCGGCUGACGAAGGGUUG